AGUUUUACAGUCCGACAUUCUAAUGUCCUCAAACUGUGCUUUAAUGUCUUUUACUGUUCCAGAUAACAAUCGCCAAGUUGUAA